GACGAACGCUGGCGGCGUGCUUAACACAUGCAAGUCGAACGGAAAGGCCCUGCUUUUGUGGGGUGCUCGAGUGGCGAACGGGUGAGUAACACGUGAGUAACCUGCCCUUGACUUUGGGAUAACUUUAGGAAACUGGGGCUAAUACCGGAUAGGAGCUCCUGCUGCAUGGUGGGGGUUGGAAAGUUUCGGCGGUUGGGGAUGGACUCGCGGCUUAUCAGCUUGUUGGUGGGGUAGUGGCAUACCAAGGCUUUGAAGGGUAGCCGGCCUGAGAGGGUGACCGGCCACAUUGGGACUAAGGUACGGACCAGUCUGCUACGGGAGGCAGCAGUGGGGAGUAUUGCACAAUGGGCCGGAGCCUGAUGCGGCGGCGCCGCGUGCGGGAUGACGGGCUUCGAGUUGUGAACCGCUUUCGCCUGUGACGAAGCGUGAGUGACGGUAAUGGGUAAAGAAGCACCGGCUAACUACGUG
rnacentral:rRNA from 1 species